rnacentral:rRNA from 1 species
GACGAACGCUGGCGGCGUGCUUAACACAUGCAAGUCGAACGAUGAAGCCGGAGCUUGCUCUGGUGAGUUAGGGGCGAACGGGUAAGUAACACGUGAGUAACCUGCCCUUGACUCUGGGAUAACUGCGGGAAACUGUAGCUAAUACCGGAUACGACCCUCGGAGGCAUCUCCUGGGGGUGGAAAGAAUUUCGGUCAAGGAUGGACUCGCGGCCUAUCAGCUAGUUGGUGAGGUAAAGGCUCACCAAGGCGACGACGGGUAGCCGGCCUGAGAGGGUGACCGGCCACACUGGGACUGAGACACGGCCCAGACUCCUACGGGAGGCAGCAGUGGGGAAUAUUGCACAAUGGGCGCAAGCCUGAUGCAGCAACGCCGCGUGAGGGAUGACGGCCUUCGGGUUGUAAACCUCUUUUAGCAGGGAAGAAGCGAAAGUGACGGUACCUGCAGAAAAAGCACCGGCUAACUACGUGCCAGCCGCCGCAGUAA